CCGUCGAAAACAGUCAGUUACAGGAUGAAGUAAAUGAGCUGAAGUGCAGAAUUAAAGUUGUUACUUUAAAUCUGAGAAGGACUAUUGGUUUGGAAGCAAAGAUGACUGUGAGCAAAGAGGAGCACAUCUGGUCGUCAUAAACAACGAAGAGGUACAGAAGUUUGUCACUGACCUGAGUAAGGAUGAAGAGUACUGGAUUGGUCUAAGGGGUCAACAGAGCCAAGGAGAAUGGGAAUGGGUUGACGGAUCACCGCUGACAGAAACGUUCUGGGCAUCAGGACUGCUUCACAAUCAUGGUAACUUUAAUGCUGCAACAUGUUGCGAUCAACAAGGAAAAUGGACACAAACAAGAAGAUUUGGUGACCUUAAGAAGUUCAUCUGUGAGAAAGAGAUUCUCUGAACUCUGUGAUGACAGAGGGGGUGUAGUGUUGGGAUCAGCUUUGUCAAAUCAGACUAAUUAACAUUUUGCUCAGUAGUUUAUUCUGUGUUGCUAAAUAACCUGGAUUACAUAGAUAUCGUCCCUCUGCCCUUCAUAGUGCAUAAUCUGGUUAGAAGUCAUGAGCACUUAAGGCCUCUUUACAGCUGCCGUUCCUGACCUGUGGCGCGACAAUGUGACGUCAAAAUGACGUAGAUCUCGCUGCCGUGCCAGAAUUUUUAGUAUGCGACCAGAGGUCAUGCAGUGGCGCGUGACAGUUUGAGGGUAACCGGACGCCAGGACUCUGAGUGACUGCAAGUCUCUCUUGUAAACUUACAUGUGUUAAAAUGAGUCCUUUUAUGAUGAAUGAAAGGCUUGAUCUGACCAAGUACCUCAUUGAAUUGUUGUACAGACAUUCUGAAGUAUUUAAAGCGCUUCUCUUCUUCUAUCAUCCUCAUUUGUUUCACAAGGAUAUUGAACUCACCAUAUUCAUGUCUGGCGUUAUUCAAAGGACAAACAUUCCACCUUCUUUUCCAUUUUUUUGCGAGCAGGCUCAAAAGCAGCUGUUCUUCCUCAUUCAUUGAGUCCAAUAUUAUCUUAGCCACUGUUGACAUUGACAUUGACGUCAAUGCUGCUGCCAGUUCUGCCGUCGUUUACCUUUUUCUUCUUCUUCUAGUCUAUAGAAAUAGCAAAGUCGGUAGCCUUUCCU